UACGGAGGGUGCAAGCGUUGCUCGGAAUUAUUGGGCGUAAAGGGUAGGUAGGUGGUCUCAUUUGUCUGGGGUGAAAGCCUUGAGCUUAACUCAAGAAGUGCCCCAGAAACGGUGAGACUCGAGUACUGGAGAGGGUCGUGGAAUUCCCGGUGUAGCGGUGAAAUGCGUAGAGAUCGGGAGGAACACCAGAGGCGAAGGCGGCGACCUGGACAGUUACUGACACUCAACUACGAAAGCGUGGGGAGCAAACAGG
rnacentral:rRNA from 1 species